GAUGAACGCUGGCUACAGGCUUAACACAUGCAAGUCGAGGGGAAACGACGGGGAAGCUUGCUUCCCCGGGCGUCGACCGGCGCACGGGUGAGUAACGCGUAUCCAACCUGCCUCUGACUGAGGGAUAACCCGUCGAAAGUCGGCCUAAUACCUCAUGGCAUCGUCUGCGGGCAUCCAACGACGAUUAAAGAUUUCAUCGGUCAGGGAUGGGGAUGCGUCUGAUUAGCUAGUUGGCGGGGUAACGGCCCACCAAGGCGACGAUCAGUAGGGGUUCUGAGAGGAAGGUCCCCCACAUUGGAGCUGAGACACGGUCCAAACUGCUACGGGAGGCAGCAGUGAGGAAUAUUGGUCGAUGGGCGAGAGCCUGAACCAGCCAAGUAGCGUGCAGGAUGACGGCCCUAUGGGUGGUAAACUGCUUUUAUGCGGGGAUAAAGUGAGGGACGUGUCCUUCAUUGCAGGUACCGCAUGAAUAAGGACCGGCUAAUUCCGUG
rnacentral:rRNA from 1 species